rnacentral:rRNA from 1 species
UACAGAGGGGGCAAGCGUUGUUCGGAAUUACUGGGCGUAAAGGGCGCGUAGGCGGCCACCUAAGUCAGACGUGAAAUCCCUCGGCUCAACCGGGGAACUGCGUCUGAUACUGGGUGGCUUGAAUCCGGGAGAGGGAUGCGGAAUUCCAGGUGUAGCGGUGAAAUGCGUAGAUAUCUGGAGGAACACCGGUGGCGAAGGCGGGUCUCUGGGCAGUAACUGACGCUGAGGAGCGAAAGCGUGGGGAGCGAACAGG